UCUGGCUCCGUGUCUUCACUCCCGUGUGUGUCCACCGAGGGAGGGAGGGACGGGGGCUGUGCUGGGGC
ensembl:miRNA